GACGAACGCUGGCGGCGUGCCUAAUACAUGCAAGUAGAACGCUGAAACGAGGAGCUUGCUCUUCUUAGAUUAGUUGCGGACGGGUGAGUAACGCGUAGGUAACCUGCCUAUUAGCGUGGGAUAACUAUUGGAAACGAUAGCUAAUACCGCAUAACAAUGUGUAACACAUGUCUUUUAUUUGAAAGACGCAAUUGCUCUACUACAAGCAUGACUUGCGUUGUAUUAGGUAGUAUGGGAGGUAAUGGCUCUCCUAAGCGACGAUACCUAGCCGAACUGAGAGGGUGGUCCGCCAAAAUGGGAAUGAGACACGGCCCAGACCUCCACGGGAGGGCGCAGGAGGGGAACUUCGGCAAUGGGGGCAACGCUGAACGAGCAACGCCGCGGGAGGGAAGAAGGUUUUCGGAUUGUAAAGAUCUGGUGUAAGGCAAGAAAGGGAGUGAGAGUGGAAAGUGCACACUGUGACGGUAGCUUACCAGAAAGGGACGGCUAACUACGUG
rnacentral:rRNA from 1 species